AUUGAACGCUGGCGGCAGGCUUAACACAUGCAAGUCGAACGAUGAUUAUCUAGCUUGCUAGAUAUGAUUAGUGGCGGACGGGUGAGUAACAUUUAGGAAUCUGCCUAGUAGUGGGGGAUAGCUCGGGGAAACUCGAAUUAAUACCGCAUACGACCUACGGGUGAAAGGGGGCGCAAGCUCUUGCUAUUAGAUGAGCCUAAAUCAGAUUAGCUAGUUGGUGGGGUAAAGGCCCACCAAGGCGACGAUCUGUAACUGGUCUGAGAGGAUGAUCAGUCACACCGGAACUGAGACACGGUCCGGACUCCUACGGGAGGCAGCAGUGGGGAAUAUUGGACAAUGGGGGCAACCCUGAUCCAGCCAUGCCGCGUGUGUGAAGAAGGCCUUUUGGUUGUAAAGCACUUUAAGCAGGGAGGAGAGGCUAAUGGUUAAUACCCAUUAGAUUAGACGUUACCUGCAGAAUAAGCACCGGCUAACUCUGUGCCAGCAGCCGCGGUAAUACAGAGGGUGCGAGCGUUAAUCGGAAUUACUGGGCGUAAAGCGAGUGUAGGUGGCUCAUUAAGUCACAUGUGAAAUCCCCGGGCUUAACCUGGGAACUGCAUGUGAUACUGGUGGUGCUAGAAUAUGUGAGAGGGAAGUAGAAUUCCAGGUGUAGCGGUGAAAUGCGUAGAGAUCUGGAGGAAUACCGAUGGCGAAGGCAGCUUCCUGGCAUAAUAUUGACACUGAGAUUCGAAAGCGUGGGUGGCAAACAGGAUUAGAUACCCUGGUAGUCCACGCCGUAAACGAUGUCUACUAGCCGUUGGGGUCCUUGAGACUUUAGUGACGCAGUUAACGCGAUAAGUAGACCGCCUGGGGAGUACGGCCGCAAGGUUAAAACUCAAAUGAAUUGACGGGGGCCCGCACAAGCGGUGGAGCAUGUGGUUUAAUUCGAUGCAACGCGAAGAACCUUACCUGGUCUUGACAUAGUGAGAAUCCUGCAGAGAUGCGGGAGUGCCUUCGGGAAUUCACAUACAGGUGCUGCAUGGCUGUCGUCAGCUCGUGUCGUGAGAUGUUGGGUUAAGUCCCGCAACGAGCGCAACCCUUUUCCUUAUUUGCCAGCGGGUUAAGCCGGGAACUUUAAGGAUACUGCCAGUGACAAACUGGAGGAAGGCGGGGACGACGUCAAGUCAUCAUGGCCCUUACGACCAGGGCUACACACGUGCUACAAUGGUAGGUACAGAGGGUUGCUACACAGCGAUGUGAUGCUAAUCUCAAAAAGCCUAUCGUAGUCCGGAUUGGAGUCUGCAACUCGACUCCAUGAAGUCGGAAUCGCUAGUAAUCGCAGAUCAGAAUGCUGCGGUGAAUACGUUCCCGGGCCU
rnacentral:rRNA from 1 species